rnacentral:rRNA from 1 species
GACGAACGCUGGCGGCGUGCUUAACACAUGCAAGUCGAACGAUGACGACCGAGCUUGCUCGGUCUGAUUAGUGGCGAACGGGUGGGUAACACGUGAGCAACCUGCCCUUCACUCUGGGAUAACCUCGGGAAAUCGGGGCUAAUACCGGAUAUGAGCUCCUGUCGCAUGGCGGGUGUUGGAAAGUUUUUCGGUGAAGGAUGGGCUCGCGGCCUAUCAGUUUGUUGGUGAGGUAGUGGCUCACCAAGGCGAUGACGGGUAGCCGGCCUGAGAGGGCGACCGGCCACACUGGGACUGAGACACGGCCCAGACUCCUACGGGAGGCAGCAGUGGGGAAUAUUGCACAAUGGGCGAAAGCCUGAUGCAGCGACGCCGCGUGAGGGAUGACGGCCUUCGGGUUGUAAACCUCUUUCAGCAGGGAAGAAGCGAAAGUGACGGUACCUGCAGAAGAAGCGCCGGCUAACUACGUG